rnacentral:tRNA from 1 species
CGGAGGGAUCGCAUAGUUGGUCUAGUGCGCGCGCUUGGAAAGCGCGUAUACCGCAAGGUAUCGAGAGUUCGAAUCUCUCUCCCUCCGCCC